GAUGAAGUGCAUGCUGAACAGGAUUUGUUGACAUUUCAGGACUGUGGGUCACGCGGGUGUCGCCACAGGCCAAUCACCAUGGAAACACAUUUGGUGGACAGAUCAUGGCCUGGAUGGAAUACGUGGCUACAGUAGCAGCCAGUCGUUUGUGUGGUUACUAUCCUCCCCUCGGAGCUGUGGACAUGUUUCGAUUCCAGACUGGUGUUUAAAGCGAUGGUCAAUAAUGCCUUUCAGACCAGUGUGGAGGAUGGUGUUCGGGUGGAGGUGUAUAACUGUGAGGAGUGGAAUGAGGAGAGACCAAGACACAUAAACAGUGCCUCCAUGAUUUAUUACAUCCCAGGACGUGACGCUGAGAAACAGAAGUUUCCUGAUGUCACCUACACAGCGCUUGGUAUUUGGGGUUUAACAACGUGGCAGCUCUCACAGUCUUGGCUGGGAAGCUAGUAACAUCAAUGAUAAGACCUGCGGUUAGGGCCACAGUGGGACAAAAACUAUCUGAGCUGUGAAGAGUUUGAGAAAGCAGAUGAGGAGGAAACCAUUUAUCACAUUAAAUGCACCACAGUCAAAGGAAGCACAAAUCAGGAUUUCGUGGUUCUGUUGUCUGCAAAGAUGGGUAUGAUUCCAGUGCUACCAUGAGUGUGAGUUUUGGAUAAAUCUUAAUCUUAAUCUUAUA
ensembl:lncRNA